rnacentral:lncRNA from 10 species
CGGAGUCCAUGAUAUGAGAUGGCGUUUUAAAUACAUGUUUUAUCUUCAAGGUUUUCAGCUCUUUUCUCUGGACCAUCUGGAUAUAAGUUGAUAGCUGUCACAGGUGCUUUGCUUGCUUCAUGACUUUGACUUUCAACAAUCCUUCAAGGGAGGCAUUAGUUCAUCAUUACACCUGAAGAAGUCGGAGGUUCAAAGACCUCACAACAAGCAAGUGGAAAAGUUGGCCAUGAGGAACCAACAUGGCACAACUAUAAAGCCAGCCAGAAGAUACAGCCAAUCCCACGUUUUAACAUAAUAAGCACAUACAUUCAUCCAUCCACAAAAUCCUGUGAGAGAAGAUGCCCAAGCAUCCACAGCCUCCUGCUCACACACCUUUAGUGGCACUUCUGUGAAGUUCCCGGUCCUCUCACUGGUCCUCCUCAGGCUCCUCAUCUGGCCCCUCGCUGCUCCUCUCUCUAGUGUGCCUAAUCCUUCAUGCCCUUUGAAAAGCACCACUGUCAAAGCUAGUUGCCAUGUUGUGAGAUGCUCUAUGGGGAGCUUCGUGUGACAAGGAACUGAGGAAGACCUUCAACCAACAUCUGGUGAGGAACUGAGGCCUCAGUUCAAGAGCUCAGAAGGAACUGACUCCUGCCAACAACCACAUGAGUGAGCUGGGAAGCAGAUUUUUCCCAGCUGAGCCCUGACGUGAUGGCAGCCUUUUGAGAACCACAGGACCCUGCUAAGCCAAGCUCAGAUUCUCGACCU